GAGUUUGAUCAUGGCUCAGANUGNACGCUGGCGGCAGGCCUAACACAUGCAAGUCGAGCGGAAACGAGUUAUCUGAACCUUCGGGGAACGAUAACGGCGUCGAGCGGCGGACGGGUGAGUAAUGCCUAGGAAAUUGCCCUGAUGUGGGGGAUAACCAUUGGAAACGAUGGCUAAUACCGCAUAAUGCCUACGGGCCAAAGAGGGGGACCUUCGGGCCUCUCGCGUCAGGAUAUGCCUAGGUGGGAUUAGCUAGUUGGUGAGGUAAUGGCUCACCAAGGCGACGAUCCCUAGCUGGUCUGAGAGGAUGAUCAGCCACACUGGAACUGAGACACGGUCCAGACUCCUACGGGAGGCAGCAGUGGGGAAUAUUGCACAAUGGGCGCAAGCCUGAUGCAGCCAUGCCGCGUGUGUGAAGAAGGCCUUCGGGUUGUAAAGCACUUUCAGUCGUGAGGAAGGCAGUGUGGUUAAUAGCUGCAUUAUUUGACGUUAGCGACAGAAGAAGCACCGGCUAACUCCGUGCCAGCAGCCGCGGUAAUACGGAGGGUGCGAGCGUUAAUCGGAAUUACUGGGCGUAAAGCGCAUGCAGGUGGUUUGUUAAGUCAGAUGUGAAAGCCCGGGGCUCAACCUCGGAAUUGCAUUUGAAACUGGCAGACUAGAGUACUGUAGAGGGGGGUAGAAUUUCAGGUGUAGCGGUGAAAUGCGUAGAGAUCUGAAGGAAUACCGGUGGCGAAGGCGGCCCCCUGGACAGAUACUGACACUCAGAUGCGAAAGCGUGGGGAGCAAACAGGAUUAGAUACCCUGGUAGUCCACGCCGUAAACGAUGUCUACUUGGANGUUGUGGCCUUGAGCCGUGGCUUUCGGAGCUAACGCGUUAAGUANACCGCCUGGGGGAGUACGGUCGCNAGAAUUAAANCUCAAAUGAAUUGACGGGGGCCCGCACAAGCGGUGGANCAUGUGGUUUAAUUCGAUGCAAC
rnacentral:rRNA from 1 species